UUACAUAAUCAGUCAUUAAGCAAAGAAGAAGAAAAUACCUAGAAAACAGAUAACAGAACAAUGGAGGAUAUCACAGGACCCAGAAACAUCCUGCAACUUAACAAAGAAACAAAAAUACUGAAAGCACUGCACCUGCCACGGCUGAGUCAACACUGGAUCCUUAACCCACUAUGGAUCAAAUCGACACCACCCUAGAGAGAAGAUGAGUCAUUAACCCACUAAUGGUCCUGGGCCCACAGCAGAAACUUCCAUUAAAUGAAUUUUAAAGCUAUCUACUCAUAAAGACUUCCACUCAGCAGCAAACCCACCAAGGCCUCUUGCCACCCAUGAAUCUUUCUGAUGAAACUGACGCCGAUGACGGUGAAGGAGUCAGCUGGGGGUCUCUCCCCACUGGCUACUUUGGGCUUCUUCAUAGCAUUCUGGUUUGGUCCCAAAUGUGACAGUCCCAAAUGAAAAGAGAACAUAAGGUAAGAAACUGUAUCCUUUUUGUGACCUAGACUUGGAAAUCACAUACCAUCUUUUUGACGAUACUUUAUAUACCUAGGCCAGAGUCCAUAUGAGAAGUG